rnacentral:rRNA from 1 species
CCUACGGGAGGCAGCAGUGGGGAAUAUUGGACAAUGGGGGGAACCCUGAUCCAGCGACGCCGCGUGAGUGAAGAAGUAUUUCGGUAUGUAAAGCUCUAUCAGCAGGGAAGAAAGAAAUGACGGUACCUGACUAAGAAGCCCCGGCUAACUACGUGCCAGCAGCCGCGGUAAUACGUAGGGGGCAAGCGUUAUCCGGAUUUACUGGGUGUAAAGGGGGCGUAGACGGCGAUGCAAGUCUGAAGUGAAAGGCGGGGGCCCAACCCCUGGACUGCUUUGGAAACUGUAUGGCUGGAGUGCAGGAGAGGUAAGUGGAAUUCCUAGUGGAGCGGUGAAAUGCGUAGAUAUUAGGAGGAACACCAGUGGCGAAGGCGGCUUACUGGACUGUAACUGACGUUGAGGCUCGAAAGCGUGGGGAGCAAACAGGAUUAGAUACCCUAGUAGUC